rnacentral:rRNA from 1 species
GUAGUCUGNAACCCGACUACAUGAAGCUGGAAUCGCUAGUAAUCGCGGAUCAGAAUGCCGCGGUGAAUACGUUCCCGGGUCUUGUACACACCGCCCGUCACACCAUGGGAGUCGGAAAUGCCCGAAGUCUGUGACCCAACCAUUAAGGAGGGAGCAGCCGAAGGCAGGUCGGAUGACUGGGGUGAAGUCGUAACAAGGUAGC